CCAUAAUCAAGUGCGAGCCUGUCCCUCCGCCGGAGAGCGCUGGCGGCGACGACAAGGCCAAGGAGGAGAAGAAGGCAGAAGGUGGCGGCGAGGAGAAGAAGGAUGACGGCAAGGAGGAGAAGAAGGAAGGCAAAGAAGGUGGCGGUGAGGAGAAGAAGGACGAGAAGGAGAAGGAGAAGGAAAGCGGUGAAACUGCUGCCGGCGACGAGAAGGAUAAGGCUGACAAAGAGAAGGAUGCCGCUGCCAUCGCCGCGGCUAGCCUGUACAUGCACUACCCACGGUUCCCAUUCCCCGCUGGGUACUACCCGCCACCCCCACUACCGCCGCCCGGGUAUGUCUACCAGCCAGCCUACCCGCCGCCGUCAUACGCCGCGCACCACCAGAC
rnacentral:lncRNA from 1 species